rnacentral:lncRNA from 1 species
UGUCCUAUAUUCAGUGUUCUAUAAAUGUCCCCUUUAAGUACUAACACCACUAAAACAGCACAUUUAAAGCAAAAUCUCCAUGGACCGAGUCCUGUCUGCUCAUAGAAUGCCUUUAUUGAAUGUAUUGCUUGUAGAUAAGAAAUUUCAUGGCUCUGUUCUGUACAGACAUCCUCUUUUUUCAGAACUUCAAGUUUUAGUGCUUUAUAAUUGUUAAUGAAUGCUAAGAAAUAUUACUUGACUUUUUGACAAAUCUGUGCAUUUCUUAAAAUUUAUCCAUUCAACUUUAGUUUUAAUGGAUGAUAGCUUACUUUCUAAUAGUAUUUGAAAGGUUUUUAUGGGUUUUUUUUUUCCUUAGUAGAAUAAAUUAGGCUAGCUAAAUGGUCUCCUUGAUACAAUGCCCUACCAAGACUGUUGUUUCAUUGUCAGUGGCUGGUUUAAUCAGUAUUAUUUGAAGGUAAUUUCAGACUAUUCUGGCAUUUGGUUCCUUAUUUAGUUUGUGUUCUUUCCCUAACACAUCUAAUUAAUGGAACUGUCCAGUGGUCUAACAUGGAGAAGGAGAGAUGACAUGGUGAAAACUCUAACCAUUGUGAUAGCAGCUGACGCUUGUCUGGCUUGCUACAGUCUGCAGAGUUCUUUCACUUGCAUCACACUGAAGUGCAGAGAUCAUGAGGAGCUGGCACUGCUAUUUUUGUUGUUGUUUUUUAUUUGGAAAAUUGAUGAUUAUAUUAUUGACUCUUCACAAAACCAAGGCGGUAAAAUAAGGCACCCUGAAGUUGAGGAUAGUACAGUGAUAAAAAGAGCUGCAAUUCUUGGCUGAUGAUGGAGCUCAGUUGGUACAAUGCUUGCAUAGCCUGGCCGAAGCCCUGGGUUGGCUCCUGACUACCACGCACACUGGGAGUGUUUGACAGAGGCAGGAGGAUCAGAGGACCAAGGUCAUCUUCACUACAUUGUAAAUCUGAGACAAGUCUGGAUCCAUUAGACCAUGUCCAAAACAAAAGAGAAUUUGUAAUUCUUCCUGGGCUAAUACACAGAGAAAGGGGUACAAAUUCACAUGAUUCAAAAGUGCUGCCUCCCACAGUCCAUCAUGUGGGACAAGAGAUAAUCCGCUUAGGUUCAGAGUUUGGCUUGGCUUCCUUUCUUGUGACAGACCUCAGAUAAUCAUUUCAUCUUCCUGAGCAGAGCUCUAUCUCCUCGUUGGGGAAUGGGGAAGCUGAGAGCAUCAGCCCAGUGGAUAAGUAAGGCAGCGCCUGCACUACACUGAGUACUCUGUAAGCACUAGCUGUCACUGUCGUGGGGGAGUGGAUGAAGUGCCUCCUAUAAAAUGUUAGUGAUUGUACUUAGACGUAAUUAUAAUUACAGAAGUGCAAACCAGAGUGUCUAGAAGAGUUCACUCUGACACAGCUGUUUACUUCUUAGGCGGGGCUCUAAUGCUACGGUAAAGUGUCUAUGUCUUUCUUAGUUUGAGUGUCCGCAUUGUCUUAGGGACAUGUGAGGACUCUACUUUAAAUG